UCUCUGCCAGUUUCAAAGAACUGCCUCCCCAGUCUCUUUGUGUUUGAACUGGAAUGGAUUCAGCAAGACAGCAGAAGGACAGCCUGGACAGCUGAGAAUGCAUGAGGCCAGUGGGUCAUGGCAUAAAAGACAACUCAGAAAUUCAUCAAUGUGGGGUCAGCAGAAGAGAAUCAGCAUUGCAGGUGCCAGGGGCUGAGAAAGUAAAUCCUGAAAUAAAAGGAAAAACACGAACACAUGUGCUGGGAAUUUUACUGGAAGCUCAGCAGCUGGAAUAUAAUCACUGAGAUUUUAGAGGAUUUAUUAAUUCGAACCUAUGAAGACAAGAUCAGAAAAAAAACCAAAAUAAAACAUCAUCAUGUGACAG